GCCCAGGUAGCAAAGCGCCUGCGCGCUUUGCGUGAGGACUCGAAAGGCUGCGCUUGCAAGCGCAGCCGGGGUCGCGUUCGUGUGACCGAGUCCUCUCCUGGGCACCA
rnacentral:tRNA from 1 species